CUACAGAAUGCAUGAGAGUCCUGAUAUGGAGUUUUCAAGAAUGAAAAACAAUGUUCUCCAGGAAGAUCAAUCAAUUGAAAAUGCAAAAGAGUCAGUAAUGGCUGCCAUCAUGAGAAAUGUUGCCAAAGGAACAAUUCUUUGUAAAUGUUGAGCCGCUGCUUCCUUUGGAAACAGAAUGGUGCUUUGAGAUGUCACAUUCACCGGCUUGUAACAAGGCCAUCACCUUGCCUUUCUGGCUACCUGCCUGGUUCUAGACAACUUCUAAGCAUAUCUGUACAGCUGAAAAAUGGCUGGGAGUACAUCACCACCGCCUUGGAAGCGCUUGAAAUGAUUGUGGCCAGCCUCAGAUGUUUUCUGACCUGAAGUGAAAAGUCACAUUGAUGGAUGGAUGGAUUCUGCUUUGGACCAUGGUAUUUUUUAUAUAAAAAAAUGACUCACAGAGAUAGAAAUUGGAGGCAAGAAAAAGUGUGCCCUGUAUAGAAUCUGCUGCUUAAGCGACAGCUUCACUGUACUCCAUGUUAAGGCCAGCUCCUCAGACAAAGCUUCAGGGUUGGAGGAAGCAGGGAUGCUACCCAGCACCCAUGUGAGCAGGAGAUGCUCUCUGACUCUUAUGCUUCAGUGUCACGGCAGACCUGAUUGGGAACUGCCUUAAUUAAGCAAGACUGGCAAAGACAAAGUUUGCGCCUUCUGUUUCAAAUUGAUACCGAACCCACACGACACACAGAGAGAAGCCUUCUUGGCGGCCAGCCGACCAGAGAGGAGGGGGCAAUCCAGACCCAUGCCAAUCCAGGCCUGGCAGAGGCCCCAAAGGGGGAACUGGUGCCUCUUAUUUCUUGCAAGGGCCUGUGAUUCCCGCAGGACCCACUGAGGAUUUAACACUACCUGUGCAAGUGUCAUCUUUCAAAUGAGGCGAGUGCUAUCUAAUAUUCCCUGAAUGCUAAGUGAUGGGACAGAAGUCUCAAGUUGUUCACAGCUUGCUCCUGCUGUGCUUGUUGUUGUUAUGUGCCUUCAAGUUGACUAUGACUUAUGGCGACCCUAUGAAAGAGAGACUUCCGGUGGCAUCUCUCAUGGACCACCCUGUUCAGAUCUUGUAAGUUCAGGUCUGUGGCUUCCUUUAUGGAAUCAAUCCAUCUCAUUUGGUCUUCCUCUUUUUCUACUCCCUUCUGUUUCCCCCAGCAUUAUUGUCUUUUCUAGUGAAUCAUGUCUUCUCAUGAUGUGUCCAAAGUAUGAUAACCUCAGUUUCAUCAUUUUAGCUUCUA